AUGGGCGGCCUCCGCCUCUCCGCCUGGGCCGCCGCGCCCUCCCCCUCCCCCUCCUCCGCCGCCGCGCGGGGCUUCCCGCGGUCCCCGCCGGACUGGCGCGGGCUGGAGCGCGGGAGUGGGCGCGGGCGCCGCAGCCGCUGCGCCCCGUCGUCCCCGCCCUCGGCGUCGCCGGCGCUGUCCCUGGGCGCGGCCGGCCGGCUCCGGGUCGGGGCGGACCGCGAGUGGCUGUGGGACUGCCGUGGCGGCGGCCUCGGGGGAGGAGGGGGGAAGAAGGACUACGCCAAGGAGAUGGAGGCGGCGGUGCGCGUCGUCCAGGUGGCCUGCACGCUGUGCCAGCGGGUGCAGGACUCGCUGCUCCUUGCGGACCCAGGCUCCGGCUCUGCCGGCGUCCACUCCAAGCUCGACCGCUCUCCGGUCACCGUCGCCGAUUGGGGCGUGCAAGCGACAGUCAGCUGGCUACUCUCAGAUUGCUUUGGUGAUGAAAGUGUGUCGAUCGUAGCAGAGGAAGAUGAUAAGACACUGUCUAGUAGCGACGGCACGGCUUUGCUUGAGUCUGUUGUCUCUGCAGUCAAUGGUUGCCUGGUUGAAGCUCCAAAGUAUGGGCUGAGAUCCCCGGAGAAAGACCUCGGGGCUCACGAUGUUCUUCAAGCUAUACGGAAGUGCAGCUCUACCGGGGGUCCAAAAGGAAGAUUUUGGGUGCUUGAUCCUGUGGAUGGCACACUUGGUUUUGUGCGUGGGGACCAAUACGCCAUUGCCCUCGCCUUAAUUGAAGACGGGGAAGUUGUGCUUGGUGUUCUCGGGUGCCCAAAUUAUCCAAUGAAGAAGGAAUGGCUCAACUACCACCAACGAUACUACAGGUUGAUGUCUAAGGUUGCUCCCCCUACAUCAGGAUCGUGGAACAAGGGUUGCGUGAUGUAUGCUCACAAAGGAUGUGGCCAGGCUUGGAUGCAGCCAUUGGUUCAUGACUUCGGUAUGCUUAGUUGGCAUAACUCAAGGGAGGUUCAAGUAUCAUCCGUCAGUGAUCCAGUUUCAGCAACAUUCUGUGAACCUGUUGAGAAAGCCAACUCGAGCCAUUCCUUCACUGCAGGACUUGCCCAUAGUGUAGGCUUAAGAAACCAGCCUCUGCGUGUGUACAGCAUGGUGAAAUAUGCUGCAAUAGCACGAGGUGAUGCUGAAAUCUUCAUGAAAUUCGCUAGAGCUGGAUACAAGGAGAAGAUAUGGGAUCACGCCGCAGGGGUGGUCAUCAUUCAAGAGGCUGGUGGAGUGGUAACAGAUGCCGGAGGUUGCCCGUUGGACUUUUCCAGGGGUGUUUACUUGGAGGGUUUGGACAGAGGCAUAAUAGCUUGUUCCGGAGCGUUGCUUCAUCAGAGAAUUUUGCAAGCUGUUGAUGCAAGUUGGAACUCAUCAACGUUGUAA
rnacentral:rRNA from 1 species